AAGGCCUUAGCUUAGUUAAAGUGUCUGGGUUGCAUUCAGAAGAUGUGGGGUAGUAUCCCGCAGGCUUUA
rnacentral:tRNA from 1 species